rnacentral:rRNA from 1 species
AACCCAAAGGACUUGACGGUGUCUUAACCCUACUAGAGGAGCCUGUUCAGUAAUCGACGAUACCCGCUAAACCUCACCAUUUCUCGCUUUUCAGCUAGUAUACUUCCGUCGCAAGCUUACCAUGUGAAUGAACACAUAGUCGGUUCAAGGAUCUUUCCCACCACUACGUCAGGUCAAGGUGCAGCAAAAGAAAUGGGCUAGGAUGGGCUACAAUUUCUAAUAUAGAACAAACGAAUUACUGCUAUGCAAAAGCAGUUAUGAAGGUGGAUUUAGUAGUAAAAAAGAAAUAAUGUGUCUUUUUUAAAAACGGUAAUUAGAUGCGUACAAACCGCCCGUCACCCUCUUCAAAAG